rnacentral:rRNA from 1 species
ACGGGGGGUCCAAGCGUUGUUCGGAAUCACUGGGCGUAAAGCGCAUGUAGGUGGCUUUUCAAGUCAACUGUGAAAGCCCAGGGCCUAACCCUGGAAGUGCAGUUGAUACUGUUGAGCUUGAGUACGAGAGAGGAUAGUGGAAUUUCUGGUGUAGUGGUGAAAUACGUAGAUAUCAGAAGGAACAUCGGUGGCGAAGGCGGCUAUCUGGCUCGAUACUGACACUGAGAUGCGAAAGCGUGGGGAUCAAACAGGA